rnacentral:rRNA from 1 species
GACGAACGCUGGCGGCGUGCUUAACACAUGCAAGUCGAACGGAAAGGCCCUGCUUUUGUGGGGUGCUCGAGUGGCGAACGGGUGAGUAACACGUGAGUAACCUGCCCUUGACUUUGGGAUAACUUCAGGAAACUUGGGCUAAUACCGGAUAGGAGCUCCUGCUGCAUGGUGGGGGUUGGAAAGUUUCGGCGGUUGGGGAUGGACUCGCGGCUUAUCAGCUUGUUGGUGGGGUAGUGGCUUACCAAGGCUUUGACGGGUAGCCGGCCUGGGAGGGUGACCGGCCACAUUGGGACUGAGAUACGGCCCAGACUCGUACGGGAGGCAGCAGUGGGGAAUAUUGCACAAUGGGCGGAAGCCUGAUGCAGCAAAGCCGCGUGCGGGAUGACGGCCUUCGGGUUGUAAACCGCUUUCGCCUGUGACGAAGCGUGAGUGACGGUAAUGGGUAAAGAAGCACCGGCUAACUACGUG